GGAAUUUUUUAUAAAAUUAUUUUGUGAAAAUUUAAAAUUUGCAAAAUGACCCUGUCAAAAUUUUAUUUAGAAAACUAAACCUCCUUUCGCCACGUCAGAGCCAUAGCAGAAUUUCUUUUAAAGACGGUAAAUCGUUCCCCGCUUUCUCCUAUUUCUUUUAAAGGUGGUGAAUCGUUCCCCGCUUUCCGCUUUCUUUUUUUUUUUAAAGACAGUAAAUCGUUCGCCGCAUUCAUUAAAAUUGUGCGUGGAUUAUAUAAGAAAUAGAUAAAAGUGAGAUUGUUAGGAUUAUAUGCGAAUCAUUAGAAUUUUUAUUUGAUUAUUAGGAUUAUAUGGAUAGAUUAUUAAGAUUUUCAGGCUGUUAAGAUUAUAUGAAAUUAUAUGGAUAAAUUAUUAUGAUUUAAAGGUUGUUAAGAUUAUAUGUGAUUUGUUAAAAUUUUUAUGUGGUUGUUAGAAUUAUAUAUGGGAUAUAGAAAGAAACAGUAAGUGAAAGGCGGUGAAUCACCGCCUUUAAAAGAAAUGGGAGAAAGCAGGAAACGAUUCGCCGCCUUUAAAAGAAAUGGAAGAAAGCGGGGAACGAUUUACUGCCUUUAAAAGAAAUUCUGACAUGGCACCGACGUGGCGAAAGGAGAAUUAGUUUUCCAAAUAAAAUUUUGAGAGGGUUAUUUCGUAAAUUUUAAAAUUCUAGAGGGUUGUUUUAUAAAAAAGUCCUACUUUACAUGUUG
rnacentral:lncRNA from 1 species